GACGAACGCUGGCGGCGUGCUUAACACAUGCAAGUCGAACGGUAAGGCCCUUCGGGGUACACGAGUGGCGAACGGGUGGAGUAACACGUGGGUGAUCUGCCUGCACUUCGGGAUAAGCCUGGGAAACUGGGUCUAAUACCGGAUAGGACUCCUGGCUUCAUGGUUGGGGGUGUAAAGCUUUUGCGGUGUGGGAUGGGCCCGCGGCCUAUCAGCUUGUUGGUGGGGUAAUGGCCUACCAAGGCGACGACGGGUAGCCGGCCUGAGAGGGUGACCGGCCACACUGGGACUGAGAUACGGCCCAGACUCCUACGGGAGGCAGCAGUGGGGAAUAUUGCACAAUGGGCGCAAGCCUGAUGCAGCGACGCCACGUGAGGGAUGACGGCCUCGGUUGGUAAACCUCUUUCAAUAGGACGAAGCGCAAGUGACGGUACCUAUAGAAGAAGGACCGGCC
rnacentral:rRNA from 1 species